GACGAACGCUGGCGGCGUGCUUAACACAUGCAAGUCGAGCGGUAAGGCCCCUUUCGGGGGUACACGAGCGGCGAACGGGUGAGUAACACGUGGGUGACCUGCCCUCAGCUCUGGGAUAAGCCUGGGAAACUGGGUCUAAUACCGGAUAUGACUCCAUGACGCAUGUUGUGGGGUGGAAAGCCUUGUGCGGCUGAGGAUGGGCCCGCGGCCUAUCAGCUUGUUGGUGGGGUGAUGGCCUACCAAGGCGACGACGGGUAGCCGGCCUGAGACGGG
rnacentral:rRNA from 1 species